GAUUAGCCUGCGUCCGAUUAGCUAGUUGGUGGGGUAAAGGCCUACCAAGGCGAUGAUCGGUAGCUGGUCUGAGAGGAUGGUCAGCCACACUGGGACUGAGACACGGCCCAGACUCUUACGGGAGGCAGCAGUGGGGAAUAUUGGACAAUGGGGGGAACCCUGAUCCAGCAAUGCCGCGUGUGUGAAGAAGGCCUGAGGGUUGUAAAGCACUUUCAGUUGGGAGGAGGAAUGGUAGGUUAAGAGCUAACUAUUUGGACGUUACCGACAGAAGAAGCACCGGCUAACUCCGUGCCAGCAGCCGCGGUAAUACGGAGGGUGCGAGCGUUAAUCGGAAUUACUGGGCGUAAAGGGUGAGUAGGUGGUUUAAUAAGUUAUGUGUGAAAGACCUGGGCUCAACCUGGGGUAGUCAGAUAAGACUGUUAGACUGGAGUAUAGGAGAGGGCAGUGGAAUUUCCGGUGUAGCGGUGAAAUGCGUAGAGAUCGGAAGGAACACCGGUGGCGAAGGCGGCUGCCUGGCCUAAUACUGACACUGAGUCACGAAAGCGUGGGGAGCAAACAGGAUUAGAUACCCUGGUAGUCCACGCUGUAAACGAUGUCAACUAGCUGUUGG
rnacentral:rRNA from 1 species